rnacentral:rRNA from 1 species
AGAAACCAACAGGGAUUGCCCUAGUAACGGCGAGUGAAGCGGCAACAGCUCAAAUUUGAAAUCUGGCUCUCUUUGGGGGUCCGAGUUGUAAUUUGCAGAGGAUGCUUUGGCAUUGGCGGCGGUCUAAGUUCCUUGGAACAGGACAUCACAGAGGGUGAGAAUCCCGUACGUGGUCGCCUGCCUUUGCCGUGUAAAGCUCCUUCGACGAGUCGAGUUGUUUGGGAAUGCAGCUCUAAAUGGGAGGUAAAUUUCUUCUAAAGCUAAAUACCGGCCAGAGACCGAUAGCGCACAAGUAGAGUGAUCGAAAGAUGAAAAGUACUUUGGAAAGAGAGUCAAAAAGCACGUGAAAUUGUUGAAAGGGAAGCGCUUGCAGCCAGACUUGCCCGCAGUUGCUCACCUAGGCUUUGGCCUGGGGCACUCUUCUGCGGGCAGGCCAGCAUCAGUUUGGGCGGUUGGAUAAAGGCCUCUGUCACGUAUCUUCCUUCGGGAUGACCUUAUAGGGGAGGCGUAAUGCAACCAGCCCGGACUGAGGUCCGCGCAUCUGCUAGGAUGCUGGCGUAAUGGCUGUAAGCGGCCCGUCUUGAAACACGGACCAAGGAGUCUAACAUCUAUGCGAGUGUUUGGGUGUCAAGCCCGGGCGCGCAAUGAAAGUGAACGGAGGUGGGAACCCUUUGGGUGCACCAUCGACCGAUCCUGAUGUCUUCGGAUGGAUUUGAGUAAGAGCAUAGCUGUUGGGACCCGAAAGAUGGUGAACUAUGCUUGAAUAGGGUGAAGCCAGAGGAAACUCUGGUGGAGGCUCGCAGCGGUUCUGACGUGCAAAUCGAUCGUCAAAUUUGGGCAUAGGGGCGAAAGACUAAUCGAACAUCU